GAUGAACGCUGGCGGCGUGCCUAAUACAUGCAAGUCGAGCGAACAGACGAGGAGCUUGCUCCUCUGACGUUAGCGGCGGACGGGUGAGUAACACGUGGAUAACCUACCUAUAAGACUGGGAUAACUUCGGGAAACCGGAGCUAAUACCGGAUAAUAUAUUGAACCGCAUGGUUCAAUAGUGAAAGACGGUUUUGCUGUCACUUAUAGAUGGAUCCGCGCCGCAUUAGCUAGUUGGUAAGGUAACGGCUUACCAAGGCAACGAUGCGUAGCCGACCUGAGAGGGGGAUCGGCCACACUGGAACUGAGACACGGUCCAGACUCCUACGGGAGGCAGCAGUAGGGAAUCUUCCGCAAGGGGCGAAAGCCUGACGGAGCAACGCCGCGGGAGUGAUGAAGGUCUUCGGAUCGUAAAACGCUGUUAUUAGGGAAGAACAAAUGUGUAAGUAACUAUGCACGUCUGGACGGUACCUAAUCAGAAAGCCACGGCUAACUACGU
rnacentral:rRNA from 1 species